UGAUACCCCGGUAGUCCAUGCCGUAAACGUUGGGCACUAGGUGUGGGGCUCAUUCCACGAGUUCCGUGCCGCAGCAAACGCAUUAAGUGCCCCGCCUGGGGAGUACGGCCGCAAGGCUAAAACUCAAAGGAAUUGACGGGGGCCCGCACAAGCGGCGGAGCAUGCGGAUUAAUUCGAUGCAACGCGAAGAACCUUACCAAGGCUUGACAUGCACGGGAAGCCACCAGAGAUGGUGGUCUCUUUGGACACUCGUGCACAGGUGGUGCAUGGUUGUCGUCAGCUCGUGUCGUGAGAUGUUGGGUUAAGUCCCGCAACGAGCGCAACCCUCGUCCCAUGUUGCCAGCGGGUUAUGCCGGGGACUCAUGGGAGACUGCCGGGGUCAACUCGGAGGAAGGUGGGGAUGACGUCAAAUCAUCAUGCCCCUUAUGUCUUGGGCUUCACGCAUGCUACAAUGGCCGGUACAAAGGGCUGCGAUACCGUAAGGUGGAGCGAAUCCCAAAAAGCCGGUCUCAGUUCGGAUUGGGGU
rnacentral:rRNA from 1 species